GGCUGCAGGACCCGUCUUGGGAGGGGGAACCGGUUUGGACCAGAAAUCACUGCCAAACUGAAAGACAGAGGAGGGCAAUGGGGAGCCGUGAGGGGGAAGGUAAGGUAAGGUAAGGUAAGGUAAGGGUAAGGUCACGCACUGACCAGCUUGUGUCACAUCCAUGUUUAUUUAACAUGUAUUGUACCCUGUGAGGUUUAGGGUGUUCCUGCACCCUCCCUCUUCUGUUUUAUUUAACAUGUAUUGUACCCUGUGAGGUUUAGGGUGCUGCUGCCAACAGGUGUCAAACCAGUACCUCCCAACAGGAGGUACUGGUUUGACACCCUGACGCCAAGAGAGAGAGAGAGAGAGACAGAUAGUUAGAGUGAAAGAGAAGGAAAGAGAGAGGGAGAGAGAGAAGAGGAGAGACAUGGAGGGAGAGAGAAUUAGAGAGAAAGAGAAGGAGCAUGAAGAGGAGUAAAGAGAGAGGAAGAGAUUAUCGCGGGGUGGCGACCUUGUCCUCCACGACAUCGCUCCGGCCGUGUUCCAAUCUUUGCUCGCUUUUUUUCCUCUUAAAAGUGUGUGUGUGUGUGUGUGUGUGUGUGUGUGUGUGUGUGUGUGUGUGUGUGUGUUUUGUGUGUGUGUGUGUGUGUGUGAGUGUUCCCUUUGGUCUCUUUCUCUCUCUUUAGGGAACUCUGGGAACCUCCAUCUUUGAAACGCCCUAAUCCCCCUCCACCUCUGCCUCCUCCACCCUUAACCCCUCCAACCUCCUCACCUGUCGUCAGAAGGCCUGAACGGGUCGCUGCUAUGGCAACCGUGGAAACCUGUUUACAGGCGCGGCCCACGGUCCGCCUUAACCGGAGAAACGCAGGAGGAAGUAAAGCUGAACACCUCAGGAAAACAGGAAGGACAGAGGCAACAGCAACAACAACAAUAACAACAACAACAACAACGACGAUGACAGCGUUGGCGACGAGAGAGAUGGAGUAUCAGCCUCCCGGUCCUCCAGACGUCAGGAGGAGCAGGGAGGGUAAAGGACGACCUGAGGGCUGGGCUGCUACCCCGGGGAUCGAACCCGGGACCUUUGGGACGGACUCACCUUCAUCCGUAUGAUGGCGUUGACCCAGCUAACCUGGCUCUCCUUCUCCUCACAGCAGAAGUACCUGCAGACCGGAGACACAUUUUAAGGCAUUCUCAUUUUGUGGAACGUAUUUGAAAUGUUGUUCGUGAACCACGUUCAAAUAUAUUAAACCUCACUUAUAUAGAAUCUAGGUCAGUUCUGGUGGUUAUUUUCUCACAGUAGGCACAGUAUAUGAACAGUGAAAAGGUAAAUGGAUUAGUUUCUUUGACCAGAGUCUUAUUAAGGGAAGUCUCCUCUCCUCUCUGGUGAAACAGCAGUGACUUUACACCCAGUGGGGUGAACUGAGGUGUUGGCGGUGAAAACGGUUUCCUCCACAGAUGUAUUUAUGACAUUUAAUAUGGUGACAGG
ensembl:lncRNA